GUGAACGCUGGCGGUAGGCCUAACACCUGCAAGUCGAACGGCAGCACAGUAAGAGCUUGCUCUUACGGGUGGCGAGUGGCGGACGGGUGAGGAAUACAUCGGAAUCUACUUUUUCGUGGGGGAUAACGUAGGGAAACUUACGCUAAUACCGCAUACGACCUACGGGUGAAAGCAGGGGAUCUUCGGACCUUGCGCGAUUGAAUGAGCCGAUGUCGGAUUAGCUAGUUGGCGGGGUAAAGGCCCACCAAGGCGACGAUCCGUUGCUGAUCUGAGAGGAUGAUCAGCCACACUGGAACGGAGACGCGGUCCUGACUCCUACGGGAGGCAGCAGUGGGGAAUAGUGGACAAUGGGCGCAAGCCUGAACCAGCCAUACCGCGUGGGUGAAGAAGGCCUUCGGGUUGUAAAGCCCUUUUGUGGGGAAAGAAAAGCAGCAGGUUAAUACCCCGCUGUUCUGACGGUACCCAAAGAAUAAGCACCGGCUAACUUCGUG
rnacentral:rRNA from 1 species